UACGAAGGGGGCUAGCGUUGCUCGGAAUCACUGGGCGUAAAGGGUGCGUAGGCGGCUUGGUGGGUCUGGUGUGAAAGCCCCGGGCUCAGCCCGGGAAGGGCACUAGAAACUGCCGAGCUGGAGUGCCGGAGGGGAGAGCGGAAUUCCUAGUGUAGCGGUGAAAUGCGCAGAUAUUAGGAAGAACACCGGUGGCGAAGGCGGCUCUCUGGAACGGUACUGACGCUGAGACGCGAAAGCGUGGGGAGCGAACAGG
rnacentral:rRNA from 1 species